UUUGUGCAUCACCGCGUGGGUCCCCUUUGCAGGAGGGCUUGCGUUUUCACAUAAAACUUGAUACAGUGUAGAAUGUUUUAUUUGCGGUCACACGCAAUCAAUACAACUUUCAACAACGGAUCUCUUGGCUCUCGCAUCGAUGAAGAACGCAGCGAAAUGCGAUACGUAAUGUGAAUUGCAGAAUUCAGUGAAUCAUCGAAUCUUUGAACGCACCUUGCGCCCCUUGGCAUUCCGAGGGGCACACCCGUUUGAGUGUCGUGAAAUCAUCAAAACCUUCUCUUUGACCCUCUUUGGUCGGGAAAAGGAUUUUUGGACUUGGAGGUUCCAUGCUCGCCUUCACUUUUGAAAGUGAGCUCCUCUCAAAUGAAUUAGUGGGGUCCGCUUUGCUGGUCCUUGACGUGAUAAGAUGUUUCUACGUUUUGGAUUUAGCACUGUCCCUUGGAUGCCUGCUCCUAACUGUCUCACGGACAACGAUGGUG
rnacentral:rRNA from 1 species